GUGACGUUGAUAGGAGAGGAUGAAGAUGACGAUGAUAGGAGAGGAUGAAGCUGACGUUGAUAGGAGAGGAUGAAGGUGACGAUGAUAGGAGAGGAUGAAGGUGACGAUGAUAGGAGAGGAUGAAGGUGAUGAUGAUAGGAGAGGAUGAAGGUGACGAUGAUUACUUUAUUGCAUCCGUUUCUUAGGUAGCGGUUCAAGUUCAAAGCUGAUUCAAAUUCCCAGCUGGUGAUUGUGGAGGGUGCAGCAAAACCCCCUGAGAGACAGAUGAACCACAGACCGGCCCUGGUGUAGAAUUACAGACAGGACUACUAGACAACCAACAGCUCCAUGGAGUCUACAGUCUAUCUACAGACCACAGCUCUAUAAUUCUCUCUUCUUUUCAGUUGUUCACUCUCUCCACGCAAUGGAUUCCAACUUUCUAUUUCUUUUCUCCAAAGUAUUUUAUUCUCUCCAUUCUGUCCAACGGAACGAGGGAUGAUUCCUUUCACGUAUCCAGGAGAACAGAUUGAAGGAGACAAGAACAAAAAGAGUAACAGAGUCCCCCAAGAGAAGAAAAUGAGUCCACAGAGAAACGAAGGAAGAUCCAACUGGACAGUGUUCCAGGUCGGUUCUGAGUCCACCUGCAGCUAGCUGGUUCUCACUCCAUGUCUGUUAAUCACACACACACUCACACUCUUUCUCAAUCAAACUUUCCUGUUGCUUCACUUCCACACAAACACUCUCUAAUAUUGACAAAUACUGUAG
ensembl:lncRNA